GGGUUGUGAGGUUAAGCGACUAAGCGUACACGGUGGAUGCCCUGGCAGUCAGAGGCGAUGAAGGACGUGCUAAUCUGCGAUAAGCGUCGGUAAGGUGAUAUGAACCGUUAUAACCGGCGAUUUCCGAAUGGGGAAACCCAGUGUGUUUCGACACACUAUCAUUAACUGAAUCCAUAGGUUAAUGAGGCGAACCGGGGGAACUGAAACAUCUAAGUACCCCGAGGAAAAGAAAUCAACCGAGAUUCCCCCAGUAGCGGCGAGCGAACGGGGAGCAGCCCAGAGCCUGAAUCAGUGUGUGUGUUAGUGGAAGCGUCUGGAAAGGCGCGCGAUACAGGGUGACAGCCCCGUACACAAAAAUGCACAUAUUGUGAGCUCGAUGAGUAGGGCGGGACACGUGGUAUCCUGUCUGAAUAUGGGGGGACCAUCCUCCAAGGCUAAAUACUCCUGACUGACCGAUAGUGAACCAGUACCGUGAGGGAAAGGCGAAAAGAACCCCGGCGAGGGGAGUGAAAAAGAACCUGAAACCGUGUACGUACAAGCAGUGGGAGCACGCUUCGGCGUGUGACUGCGUACCUUUUGUAUAAUGGGUCAGCGACUUAUAUUCUGUAGCAAGGUUAACCGAAUAGGGGAGCCGAAGGGAAACCGAGUCUUAACUGGGCGUUAAGUUGCAGGGUAUAGACCCGAAACCCGGUGAUCUAGCCAUGGGCAGGUUGAAGGUUGGGUAACACUAACUGGAGGACCGAACCGACUAAUGUUGAAAAAUUAGCGGAUGACUUGUGGCUGGGGGUGAAAGGCCAAUCAAACCGGGAGAUAGCUGGUUCUCCCCGAAAGCUAUUUAGGUAGCGCCUCGUGAAUUCAUCUCCGGGGGUAGAGCACUGUUUCGGCAAGGGGGUCAUCCCGACUUACCAACCCGAUGCAAACUGCGAAUACCGGAGAAUGUUAUCACGGGAGACACACGGCGGGUGCUAACGUCCGUCGUGAAGAGGGAAAUAACCCAGACCGCCAGCUAAGGUCCCAAAGUCAUGGUUAAGUGGGAAACGAUGUGGGAAGGCCCAGACAGCCAGGAUGUUGGCUUAGAAGCAGCCAUCAUUUAAAGAAAGCGUAAUAGCUCACUGGUCGAGUCGGCCUGCGCGGAAGAUGUAACGGGGCUAAACCAUGCACCGAAGCUGCGGCAGCGACGCUGAUGCGUUGUUGGGUAGGGGAGCGUUCUGUAAGCCUGCGAAGGUGUGCUGUGAGGCAUGCUGGAGGUAUCAGAAGUGCGAAUGCUGACAUAAGUAACGAUAAAGCGGGUGAAAAGCCCGCUCGCCGGAAGACCAAGGGUUCCUGUCCAACGUUAAUCGGGGCAGGGUGAGUCGACCCCUAAGGCGAGGCCGAAAGGCGUAGUCGAUGGGAAACAGGUUAAUAUUCCUGUACUUGGUGUUACUGCGAAGGGGGACGGAGAAGGCUAUGUUGGCCGGGCGACGGUUGUCCCGGUUUAAGCGUGUAGGCUGGUUUUCCAGGCAAAUCCGGAAAAUCAAGGCUGAGGCGUGAUGACGAGGCACUACGGUGCUGAAGCAACAAAUGCCCUGCUUCCAGGAAAAGCCUCUAAGCAUCAGGUAACAUCAAAUCGUACCCCAAACCGACACAGGUGGUCAGGUAGAGAAUACCAAGGCGCUUGAGAGAACUCGGGUGAAGGAACUAGGCAAAAUGGUGCCGUAACUUCGGGAGAAGGCACGCUGAUAUGUAGGUGAAGUCCCUCGCGGAUGGAGCUGAAAUCAGUCGAAGAUACCAGCUGGCUGCAACUGUUUAUUAAAAACACAGCACUGUGCAAACACGAAAGUGGACGUAUACGGUGUGACGCCUGCCCGGUGCCGGAAGGUUAAUUGAUGGGGUCAGCGCAAGCGAAGCUCUUGAUCGAAGCCCCGGUAAACGGCGGCCGUAACUAUAACGGUCCUAAGGUAGCGAAAUUCCUUGUCGGGUAAGUUCCGACCUGCACGAAUGGCGUAAUGAUGGCCAGGCUGUCUCCACCCGAGACUCAGUGAAAUUGAACUCGCUGUGAAGAUGCAGUGUACCCGCGGCAAGACGGAAAGACCCCGUGAACCUUUACUAUAGCUUGACACUGAACAUUGAGCCUUGAUGUGUAGGAUAGGUGGGAGGCUUGGAAGUGUGGACGCCAGUCUGCAUGGAGCCGACCUUGAAAUACCACCCUUUAAUGUUUGAUGUUCUAACGUUGACCCGUAAUCCGGGUUGCGGACAGUGUCUGGUGGGUAGUUUGACUGGGGCGGUCUCCUCCUAAAGAGUAACGGAGGAGCACGAAGGUUGGCUAAUCCUGGUCGGACAUCAGGAGGUUAGUGCAAUGGCAUAAGCCAGCUUGACUGCGAGCGUGACGGCGCGAGCAGGUGCGAAAGCAGGUCAUAGUGAUCCGGUGGUUCUGAAUGGAAGGGCCAUCGCUCAACGGAUAAAAGGUACUCCGGGGAUAACAGGCUGAUACCGCCCAAGAGUUCAUAUCGACGGCGGUGUUUGGCACCUCGAUGUCGGCUCAUCACAUCCUGGGGCUGAAGUAGGUCCCAAGGGUAUGGCUGUUCGCCAUUUAAAGUGGUACGCGAGCUGGGUUUAGAACGUCGUGAGACAGUUCGGUCCCUAUCUGCCGUGGGCGCUGGAGAACUGAGGGGGCUGCUCCUAGUACGAGAGGACCGGAGUGGACGCAUCACUGGUGUUCGGGUUGUCAUGCCAAUGGCACUGCCCGGUAGCUAAAUGCGGAAGAGAUAAGUGCUGAAAGCAUCUAAGCACGAAACUUGCCCCGAGAUGAGUUCUCCCUGACCCUUUAAGGGUCCUGAAGGAACGUUGAAGACGACGACGUUGAUAGGCCGGGUGUGUAAGCGCAGCGAUGCGUUGAGCUAACCGGUACUAAUGAACCGUGAGGCUUAACCUUACAACGCCGAAGCUGUU
rnacentral:rRNA from 1 species